AACGAACGUUGGCGGCGUGGAUUAGGCAUGCAAGUCGCGGGAAUCCCAGCAAUGGGGGAACCGGCGUAAGGGGCAGUAAUGCGUGGGUACCUACCCCGGGGUCCGGGAUAGCCGUCCGAGAGGGCGGGUAAUACCGGAUGACCUCAGGAGAGCAAAGCUCCGGCGCCCCGGGAGGGGCCCACGUGCUAUUAGCUAGUUGGUGAGGUGACGGCCCACCAAGGCGGAGAUGUCUAGCGGGUGUGAGAGCACGACCCGCGCCACUCGCACUGAGACACUGGCGAGACACCUACGGGUGGCUGCAGUCGAGGAUCUUCGGCAAUGCGCGCAAGCGCGACCGAGCGACGCCGCGUGGGCGAUGAAGGCCUUCGGGUUGUAAAGCCCUGUCGAGGGGGAGAAAAGCGGGAAACCGUGUGGUCUAUCCCUGGAGGAAGCUCGGGCUAAGUUCGUGCCAGCCGCCGCCGUAAUAC
rnacentral:rRNA from 1 species